UACGUAGGGUGCAAGCGUUGUUCGGAUUCAUUGGGCGUAAAGGGUGCGUAGGUGGCGGGGUAAGUCAGGUGUGAAAUCUCGGGGCUCAACCCCGAAACUGCAUUUGAUACUGCCUUGCUCGAGUACUGGAGAGGAGAUUGGAAUUUACGGUGUAGCAGUGAAAUGCGUAGAUAUCGUAAGGAAGACCAGUGGCGAAGGCGAAUCUCUGGACAGUUACUGACACUGAGGCACGAAGGCCAGGGGAGCAAACGGG
rnacentral:rRNA from 1 species